rnacentral:rRNA from 1 species
GACAGAGGGGGCAAGCGUUGCUCGGAAUUACUGGGCGUAAAGGGCGCGUAGGCGGGAUGGCAAGUCGGUCGUGAAAUCCCUCGGCUCAACCGAGGAACGUCGAUCGAUACUGCUGUUCUUGAGGAUUGCAGAGGAGACUGGAAUUCCCGGUGUAGCGGUGAAAUGUGUAGAGAUCGAGAGGAACACCGGUGGCGAAGGCGGGUCUCUGGGCAAUUCCUGACGCUGAGGCGCGAAAGCGUGGGGAGCAAACGGG